ACUCAAAUGAAUUGACGGGGACCUGCACAAGCGGUGGAGCAUGUGGUUUAAUUCGACGGUAAGCGAGGAACCUUACCAAGGCUUGACAUGUAGAUGCAAAUCCCCAGAAACGGGGACUCCUUCGAGGGUUCUACACAGGUGCUGCACGGUUGUCGUCAGCUCGUGCCGUGAGGUGUUCACUUAAGUGUGAAAACGAGCGCAACCCCUAUUGUGAGUUACAAGUGUCUCACGAAACUGCCCGCGUCUAAGCGGGAGGAAGGUGGGGAUGACGUCAAAUCAGCGUGGCUCUUACGCCUUGGGCGACACACGUGCUACAAUGGGAAGGACAAAGGGACGCCAAGUCGCAAGACGGAGCAAAUCCUAUCAAUACUUCCCCCAGUUCGGAUUGAGGGCUGCAACUCGCCCUCAUGAAGCCGGAAUCGCUAGUAACCGUAUAUCAGCCUCGAUACGGUGAAUACGUUCUCAGGUUUUGUACACACCGCCCGU
rnacentral:rRNA from 1 species